rnacentral:rRNA from 1 species
CCACAUUGGGACUGAGACACGGCCCAGACUCCUACGGGAGGCAGCAGUGGGGAAUAUUGCACAAUGGGGGAAACCCUGAUGCAGCGACGCCGCGUGGAGGAAGAAGGUCUUCGGAUUGUAAACUCCUGUUGUUGAGGAAGAUAAUGACGGUACUCAACAAGGAAGUGACGGCUAACUACGUGCCAGCAGCCGCGGUAAAACGUAGGUCACAAGCGUUGUCCGGAAUUACUGGGUGUAAAGGGAGCGCAGGCGGGAAGACAAGUUGGAAGUGAAAUCUAUGGGCUCAACCCAUAAACUGCUUUCAAAACUGUUUUUCUUGAGUAGUGCAGAGGUAGGCGGAAUUCCCGGUGUAGCGGUGGAAUGCGUAGAUAUCGGGAGGAACACCAGUGGCGAAGGCGGCCUACUGGGCACCAACUGACGCUGAGGCUCGAAAGUGUGGGUAGCAAACAGGAUUAGAUACCCUGGUAGUCCAUGCCGUAAACGAUGAUUACUAGGUGUUGGAGGAUUGACCCCUUCAGUGCCGCAGUUAACACAAUAAGUAAUCCACCUGGGGAGUACGACCGCAAGGUUGAAACUCAAAGGAAUUGACGGGGGCCCGCACAAGCAGUGGAGUAUGUGGUUUAAUUCGAAGCAACGCGAAGAACCUUACCAGGUCUUGACAUCCGAUGCAUAGCGCAGAGAUGCGUGAAGUCCUUCGGGACAUCGAGACAGGUGGUGCAUGGUUGUCGUCAGCUCGUGUCGUGAGAUGUUGGGUUAAGUCC